UAGCUAGUUGGUGAGGUAAAGGCUUACCAAGGCGACGAUCUGUAGCGGGUCUGAGAGUAUGAUCCGCCACACUGGAACUGAGACACGGUCCAGACUCCUACGGGAGGCAGCAGUGGGGAAUUUUGGACAAUGGGGGCAACCCUGAUCCAGCCAUGCCGCGUGAGUGAAGAAGGCCUUCGGGUUGUAAAGCUCUUUCGGCCGGGAAGAAAUCGCAUGGGCCAAUACCCUGUGUGGAUGACGGUACCGGAAUAAGAAGCACCGGCUAACUACGUGCCAGCAGCCGCGGUAAUACGUAGGGUGCGAGCGUUAAUCGGAAUUACUGGGCGUAAAGCGUGCGCAGGCGGUUUUGUAAGACAGGCGUGAAAUCCCCGGGCUUAACCUGGGAACUGCGUUUGUGACUGCAAGGCUAGAGUACGGCAGAGGGGGGUGGAAUUCCACGUGUAGCAGUGAAAUGCGUAGAGAUGUGGAGGAACACCAAUGGCGAAGCAGCCCCCUGGGUCGAUACUGACGCUCAUGCACGAAAGCGUGGGUAGCAAACAGGAUUAGAUACCCUGGUAGUCCACGCCCUAAACUAUGUCAACUAGGUGUUGGGUGGGUAAAACCAUUUAGUACCGUAGCUAACGCGUGAAGUUGACCGCCUGGGGAGUACGGCCGCAAGGUUAAAACUCAAAGGAAUUGACGGGGACCCGCACAAGCGGUGGAUGAUGUGGAUUAAUUCGAUGCAACGCGAAAAACCUUACCUACCCUUGACAUGCCAGGAACUUGCCAGAGAUGGCUUGGUGCCCGAAAGGGAGCCUGGACACAGGUGCUGCAUGGCUGUCGUCAGCUCGUGUCGUGAGAUGUUGGGUUAAGUCCCGCAACGAGCGCAACCCUUGUCGUUAAUUGCCAUCAUUUAGUUGGGCACUUUAACGAGACUGCCGGUGACAAACCGGAGGAAGGUGGGGAUGACGUCAAGUCCUCAUGGCCCUUAUGGGUAGGGCUUCACACGUCAUACAAUGGUCGGUACAAAGGGUUGCCAAGCCGCGAGGCGGAGCCAAUCCCAGAAAGCCGAUCGUAGUCCGGAUUGCAGGCUGCAACUCGCCUGCAUGAAGUCGGAAUCGCUAGUAAUCGUGGAUCAGCAUGUCACGGUGAAUACGUUCCCGGGUCUUGUACACACCGCCCGUCACACCAUGGGAGCGGGUUCCGCCAGAAGUAGGUAGCCUAACCGCAAGGGGGGCGCUUACCACGGCGGGGUUCGUGACUGGGGUGAAGUCGAAACAAGGUAGCCGUAGGGGAACCUGCGGCUG
rnacentral:rRNA from 1 species